rnacentral:piRNA from 1 species
GGGAUCGUAGGCUCGAAUGUGGU